AAAAUAAUGUACUUAUACUGUGUAGUGCAUGCUAAGCCCAUCAGUAAUUUGCCGUUAUUAUAUAUCAGGCCUCCCGUUUUCUUUUUGAGAAACUAAAGAUGUGGGCUGUCCGUUAGUGAGGUUGCAUGGGGAGGGUCUCCCACUAUUUGUCAGCCCGGAUCAACAUCUCUACAGACACCAGCCGGGCUUCCGGAAAUGCGCCACGCAUGCGUACUGGGGCAAUCGGAAGCGCUUCUGCCCCGAGUUUCCCCCGUCAGUGGAGGUUCCUGUGAACCGCCCUGUACUUGGCGGGAAAGGGGGAAGACCGCAGCACUAAGUGAGGUGGAGGCAGCGAUUGGGGGGUGGCGAAGUCUGGGGAGACACCGGUUGAAUCUGAAAGGUACCAGGGGAGCCAGCGGUCGCGUCCGUCCCUUGUUGAACUGGGACUCCCUUUCUGCGUCACCCCUUCCGCGGGUAAUGGUCUCACCCGGUCCCCGUUCCUGUAUGCCAUCCCGGGACACACCAAAUUUCCAGCACAGGGGGGAAGGAGUGGGCCUGGAUAGGGCAGGGACGUUUCGCCGGGACCAUCGAUCCGUGGGAUGUACUCUGAAACUUUUUCAACUCCCUCAAGGUAAGAGUCCUCUGUCUUAUCCUCUCCUAAAUCCCUCUAAUUUUCCUUUGGAACACAUCCAUCACUGUAUUUUGAAAUCAGAUUUGCUGUUUUCACCUGCUGGAAUAGAAACCCCAUGAGUGCGGGGUGUGUGUCUGUCUCAGGCUACGUUCCAUACAGGACUGCUACUUCAAGGCCAUUGCCAUGUUUGCUCUGAUGCUCCUUCAUGAUUCUCUGGGGAAGCCAGCCAAAGUGCACUGAUAAGAUUAGACAGAGCUGUCUGCUUACUUUUUUUUUAUUUUAAAAGAAGAUUUUAU